rnacentral:lncRNA from 1 species
CUGGGUGAGGACCCUUGGCCUAAUAGAGUCAUGUUUCUGUUCUUAAAAGUUUCAUAUAGAGUCCCUACUUUUUUUCAUGAGUUUCUGAAAAAUCUGUUUGAAGUCAAUUUUCUGAAAGUGGAACCCACGCUUGCCCAGCUUAAGUCCAGUGAUCUGCAGAUUGAAGCUAAAGACUAAUCACUUAGGGCAACAGCAGGACUUUCAUCUGCUUUGGUCCUUUGGUGGAGGCGAUACAGACACAAGUAAAACUUAGAAGAAUUCCAUGAAGAGACGGAGACACAGAAAAGAAGAAUAGAUGCCCCUUCACACAGAACGCUGCAAUCCCUUCAAUUCCUCUGCUGAUUACGUGCCUUUCUCACAUUUUCCUUGGAAACGUGCAGUUGUGAUUUUCCUCAGCACCUUGAGCGUGAGGGAUGGACGGCAAAUGCCUGGAAUCUUACAACCCAGGUUUAAAGGCCUCGGGAGUCACGCGCAGACGGGUAGACGCCGUCAGACAAUCGGAUUGCAACGACCUUCACCACCUCUGUUCGCAACAGCCUCUUAACGGUCAACACAACUUAACAGCAACUUCAUGUGGGCGACAUAAACAUCGUCCUUCUCCCCAGGCAUAAAAAUAACCACCUUUGUAGGAAAUAUUUUUGAAUAAAAGCUAGGAUUUAGAGGUUAGAAUUAUUUAUCCCAGACGAUUUCCAUGGAAGGCUUACGUUUAUGAGGAGUUUUUAUGCAGAGAAUGGGACCAGCUGUUCCUCCCAUCUGAAGAAUCUCAGAAAGGGCUAAGCCUCAGCAUGAAAUGAUUAGGUUGGGAUGAGAGGAAUUUCCUGAUGGGGAGAGUGGAACAUUGAAAGGAGCUCUUAG